rnacentral:rRNA from 1 species
GGUUAAGCGACUAAGCGUACACGGUGGAUGCCCUGGCAGUCAGAGGCGAUGAAGGACGUGCUAAUCUGCGAUAAGCGUCGGUAAGGUGAUAUGAACCGUUAUAACCGGCGAUUUCCGAAUGGGGAAACCCAGUGUGUUUCGACACACUAUCAUUAACUGAAUCCAUAGGUUAAUGAGGCGAACCGGGGGAACUGAAACAUCUAAGUACCCCGAGGAAAAGAAAUCAACCGAGAUUCCCCCAGUAGCGGCGAGCGAACGGGGAGCAGCCCAGAGCCUGAAUCAGUAUGUGUGUUAGUGGAAGCGUCUGGAAAGGCGCGCGAUACAGGGUGACAGCCCCGUACACAAAAAUGCACAUGCUGUGAGCUCGAUGAGUAGGGCGGGACACGUGGUAUCCUGUCUGAAUAUGGGGGGACCAUCCUCCAAGGCUAAAUACUCCUGACUGACCGAUAGUGAACCAGUACCGUGAGGGAAAGGCGAAAAGAACCCCGGCGAGGGGAGUGAAAAAGAACCUGAAACCGUGUACGUACAAGCAGUGGGAGCACGCUUAGGCGUGUGACUGCGUACCUUUUGUAUAAUGGGUCAGCGACUUAUAUUCUGUAGCAAGGUUAACCGAAUAGGGGAGCCGAAGGGAAACCGAGUCUUAACUGGGCGUUAAGUUGCAGGGUAUAGACCCGAAACCCGGUGAUCUAGCCAUGGGCAGGUUGAAGGUUGGGUAACACUAACUGGAGGACCGAACCGACUAAUGUUGAAAAAUUAGCGGAUGACUUGUGGCUGGGGGUGAAAGGCCAAUCAAACCGGGAGAUAGCUGGUUCUCCCCGAAAGCUAUUUAGGUAGCGCCUCGUGAAUUCAUCUCCGGGGGUAGAGCACUGUUUCGGCAAGGGGGUCAUCCCGACUUACCAACCCGAUGCAAACUGCGAAUACCGGAGAAUGUUAUCACGGGAGACACACGGCGGGUGCUAACGUCCGUCGUGAAGAGGGAAACAACCCAGACCGCCAGCUAAGGUCCCAAAGUCAUGGUUAAGUGGGAAACGAUGUGGGAAGGCCCAGACAGCCAGGAUGUUGGCUUAGAAGCAGCCAUCAUUUAAAGAAAGCGUAAUAGCUCACUGGUCGAGUCGGCCUGCGCGGAAGAUGUAACGGGGCUAAACCAUGCACCGAAGCUGCGGCAGCGACGCUGAUGCGUUGUUGGGUAGGGGAGCGUUCUGUAAGCCUGCGAAGGUGUGCUGUGAGGCAUGCUGGAGGUAUCAGAAGUGCGAAUGCUGACAUAAGUAACGAUAAAGCGGGUGAAAAGCCCGCUCGCCGGAAGACCAAGGGUUCCUGUCCAACGUUAAUCGGGGCAGGGUGAGUCGACCCCUAAGGCGAGGCCGAAAGGCGUAGUCGAUGGGAAACAGGUUAAUAUUCCUGUACUUGGUGUUACUGCGAAGGGGGGACGGAGAAGGCUAUGUUGGCCGGGCGACGGUUGUCCCGGUUUAAGCGUGUAGGCUGGUUUUCCAGGCAAAUCCGGAAAAUCAAGGCUGAGGCGUGAUGACGAGGCACUACGGUGCUGAAGCAACAAAUGCCCUGCUUCCAGGAAAAGCCUCUAAGCAUCAGGUAACAUCAAAUCGUACCCCAAACCGACACAGGUGGUCAGGUAGAGAAUACCAAGGCGCUUGAGAGAACUCGGGUGAAGGAACUAGGCAAAAUGGUGCCGUAACUUCGGGAGAAGGCACGCUGAUAUGUAGGUGAGGUCCCUCGCGGAUGGAGCUGAAAUCAGUCGAAGAUACCAGCUGGCUGCAACUGUUUAUUAAAAACACAGCACUGUGCAAACACGAAAGUGGACGUAUACGGUGUGACGCCUGCCCGGUGCCGGAAGGUUAAUUGAUGGGGUUAGCGCAAGCGAAGCUCUUGAUCGAAGCCCCGGUAAACGGCGGCCGUAACUAUAACGGUCCUAAGGUAGCGAAAUUCCUUGUCGGGUAAGUUCCGACCUGCACGAAUGGCGUAAUGAUGGCCAGGCUGUCUCCACCCGAGACUCAGUGAAAUUGAACUCGCUGUGAAGAUGCAGUGUACCCGCGGCAAGACGGAAAGACCCCGUGAACCUUUACUAUAGCUUGACACUGAACAUUGAGCCUUGAUGUGUAGGAUAGGUGGGAGGCUUAGAAGUGUGGACGCCAGUCUGCAUGGAGCCGACCUUGAAAUACCACCCUUUAAUGUUUGAUGUUCUAACGUUGACCCGUAAUCCGGGUUGCGGACAGUGUCUGGUGGGUAGUUUGACUGGGGCGGUCUCCUCCUAAAGAGUAACGGAGGAGCACGAAGGUUGGCUAAUCCUGGUCGGACAUCAGGAGGUUAGUGCAAUGGCAUAAGCCAGCUUGACUGCGAGCGUGACGGCGCGAGCAGGUGCGAAAGCAGGUCAUAGUGAUCCGGUGGUUCUGAAUGGAAGGGCCAUCGCUCAACGGAUAAAAGGUACUCCGGGGAUAACAGGCUGAUACCGCCCAAGAGUUCAUAUCGACGGCGGUGUUUGGCACCUCGAUGUCGGCUCAUCACAUCCUGGGGCUGAAGUAGGUCCCAAGGGUAUGGCUGUUCGCCAUUUAAAGUGGUACGCGAGCUGGGUUUAGAACGUCGUGAGACAGUUCGGUCCCUAUCUGCCGUGGGCGCUGGAGAACUGAGGGGGGCUGCUCCUAGUACGAGAGGACCGGAGUGGACGCAUCACUGGUGUUCGGGUUGUCAUGCCAAUGGCACUGCCCGGUAGCUAAAUGCGGAAGAGAUAAGUGCUGAAAGCAUCUAAGCACGAAACUUGCCCCGAGAUGAGUUCUCCCUGACCCUUUAAGGGUCCUGAAGGAACGUUGAAGACGACGACGUUGAUAGGCCGGGUGUGUAAGCGCAGCGAUGCGUUGAGCUAACCGGUACUAAUGAACCGUGAGGCUUAACCUU